CCUACGGGAGGCAGCAGUGAGGAAUAUUGGUCAAUGGGCGAAAGUCUGAACCAGCCAAGUCGCGUGAGGGAGUACUGCCCUAUGGGUUGUAAACCGCUUUUGUAGGGGAGCAAAAGCCGAACGUGUCCUGCGGUGAGAAUACCCGAAGGAAAAGCAUCGGCUAACCUCGGUCCAGGCGCCGGGGUAAUACGGGGGGUGCGAGGGUUUAUCGGGUUUUUUGGGGUUUAAGGGGUGGCAGGCGGAUUUUAAAGUCUGCGGUAAAAACGUGGGGGUCAACCCCAUACAGCCGUUGAUACUGGGGAUCUAGAGUGUGCGAGCGGUAUGCGGAAUGCGUGGUGUAGCGGUGAAAUGCAUAGAUAUCACGCAGAACCCCGAUCGCGAAGGCAGCAUACCGGUGCACAACUGACGCUGAGGCACGAAAGCGUGGGUAUCGAACAGGAUUAGAUACCCUAGUAGUC
rnacentral:rRNA from 1 species